rnacentral:rRNA from 1 species
AACGAACGCUGGCGGCAUGCCUAACACAUGCAAGUCGAACGAGACCUUCGGGUCUAGUGGCGCACGGGUGCGUAACGCGUGGGAACCUGCCCUUAGGUUCGGAAUAACUCCCCGAAAGGGGUGCUAAUACCGGAUAAUGUCUUCGGACCAAAGAUUUAUCGCCUUUGGAUGGGCCCGCGUUGGAUUAGCUAGUUGGUAGGGUAAAAGCCUACCAAGGCGACGAUCCAUAGCUGGUCUGAGAGGAUGAUCAGCCACACUGGGACUGAGACACGGCCCAGACUCCGACGGGAGGCAGCAGUGGGGAAUAUUGGACAAUGGGCGAAAGCCUGAGCCAGCAAGGCCGCGAGAGUGAUGAAGGCCUUAGGGUUGUAAAGCUCUUUUACCCGGGAUGAUAAUGACAGUACCGGGAGAAUAAGCUCCGGCUAACUCCGU